rnacentral:rRNA from 1 species
UACGUAGGGGGCUAGCGUUGUCCGGAAUCAUUGGGCGUAAAGAGCUCGUAGGCGGCUUGUCGCGUCGAAUGUGAAAACUCGGGGCUCAACUCCGAGCUUGCAUUCGAUACGGGCAGGCUAGAGUUCGGUAGGGGAGACUGGAAUUCCUGGUGUAGCGGUGAAAUGCGCAGAUAUCAGGAGGAACACCGGUGGCGAAGGCGGGUCUCUGGGCCGAUACUGACGCUGAGGAGCGAAAGCGUGGGGAGCGAACAGG